UUCCUGCUAGUUUUGAAACAUGCGUGGUCAGUUGUGGAGUCAUAAUGAUUGCAGCUGAGGAACAUAAGCAAAGAGGAUAAACUUAAGUACUGGAUAACAAAAAGUAGUGUUUUACAUAUCAUAUCAAGACAUGUAAUUUUUAGUGUUCACCUGCUUUUCAUUGAGCUGAUGGGAGCUUUGGCUAUGAAGGAGUCUUGCAGAAAUUCAGUUUCUUAUUGAUGUGGAAAGUCUGAGUCGGCAGCGCUGGAAAACUCAAAUGUGAUGUGAGAUCUGUGCUGGAAAACAGUUAUUAUAGUGGAGACAUAGUGAAGAGAGGUACUGCAUCGCCACAGCUCUUGUACUGAUUUUUCAUAUCACCUAUUAGCCAGUUGAUUGUGACUGCACUUGCAUAGCAAGCUCCAGCGUAUGUGCAAGGCACUCAGCAGCAGCCAAGUGAGGGAGGAAAGAAUCCAACCUGAAAUGAGAAAACUGGCCAUAUUCAGUGUGAUUCAAGGGAAGUUGAAAGAUCAUGACAGCAUUCCUUGUGAACUCCAGAGGGGAGAUCUUGAUAUCUCUGUGAUUUGCAGCUAUUUUUGAAAAUACAUGGAGGAUGAGCAAAAUACUGACGCUUCAGUGCAGCUCACAGUGAUACACACCCUUCUUCUGCAAAAGCAUCCUGGAAUACACAGUGAAAACACUUGCAGUUUGCCCAGCAAGUGGAGAUAGAUGCUUUCCUCUGCCACAGCUUUGGGAUGGCAUACCUCCUUUGCACUGCCCCGGCUCAUGAGCAGUGCCCCUCUGGGCUUCAUGAUGGAUGGAAUGGGGAGAGCUAACAGCUGUGGCUGUAUUCUUUGCUCUAUCACCUUUGCUUAGAGGAAAGGUGAUUUGUGCAUGCUGCACAGGCCUGCCUCCUGCCCUCUCCUGUGCUGGUGUAUGGCAGACAGGCUGUCACAACCAUCCUGUAAGGAGAAGAGAGCAGGAGGACAACUCCUUGUCAGAGAAACUUGAGGCAAUACCAGGAGCCUUAUGCAACUGCUGCCUUGUUUCUACAUUUUCCAUUAGUUACCAGAUUCAUCUGUAGCUUUUCCUUUUUCCUUUGUGUAACAAUUAUAUAACAAGGGACAUGUGAGUACAAAAAAUCCCCAAUAAUAAAACAAGCAGUUUCCCAGUAUGUCGUUUCCCAGUAGUGAUGACUUCUGGCAGUGACCUUCAUGUGUCCUAAUCUAAAACAAAGGCAACACAGGAAGAGAAAGUGACUCAGUCUUUGAGUCUCAGAAAGCAAAUUAUCUAAGCAAUCUAAUCUGGUCUUUAUGAGCUUGAAUGAGGUGUUUUGCUAGGCUUGGAUUUUUUUCACAAGGGGAUACAUAUUAGGAAAAAUGGAAGCUCCUUGUGAAACUGAUAAUAUGUGUUGCUAAAUGCUCUUUAGCUGAAAGAUUUUAGAGGUAUUUUUGUUUCACCCAGCCAGCAACCAAGCCCCAUGCAGUCACUAACUCACUUCUCCACAAGAGAAAUCACAGAGAGAAUUGAAGGGAUAAAAGCCAAAAAACUCAUGGGCUGAGACAAAAGCAGUUUAAUAGGGAAAUCAAAAGCUGCACACACAAGAUUCACCACUUCCCACGGGCAGGCAGGUGUUCAGCCAUCUCCAGGAGAGCAGGACCCCAUCACUAAAUAGACACUUGGGAAGACAAGAACUAUCACUCAUAAUGUCACCCUCUUCCUCCUUCUUCUCCAACUUUAUAUAGUGAGCCUUAUGCCAUAUGGUCUGGAAUAUCCAUCUGGUCAUUUGGGGUUUACCUGCUUCAGCCAUGUCUUCUCCCACCCUCCCAAGAACCCUCAGCUUCCUCACACAUGUGGCAGUAUGAAUGGCAGAAAAUGCCUUGGCUCUGCAUAAGCCCUGCUCAGCAGUAACAGAAACAUCUCUAUAUUAACAAGUCUGUGUUCAGCACAAAUCCAAACCAAGUGUGUGGUGUCCCAUACAAAGCCACAGUGAAGAAAAUUAUACCAGCAGAAAGCCACACAUGUGCUUCCCUCAAGGAAAUGACCAUACUUCAAAGCUUUGUUUUCUCCAAAAGAGGUUUAUCAGUACAUUUUUUGGUGACUCGGGAAAGAAGAGGGAUGAAAUUUUUAUCAAGAAGGAAAUUCAGGGUGCUGUUUACCCAAUGUCUGAGUCAGUGCAAGUCAGCUGCUGGGGGAAGUCCCUUACACCAGGUGCAGUUCUGUUUUUCCUGAGCCUACAAAUGUCCCAUCUGUCCAGCAGUUCUGCCAUGUGGAAAAGGUGCUGCCAUUUCCAGUGGUUUCAUGGCCUCUUCCUAACUGAAGUACCUCAAACCUCAUGUUUGCCCGAGCACCCAUCCCCCAGGUGGGGCCCUGUGCUGGAAGCAGGAUGCUUCACUCCUGCAGCUCUGUGGAGGGCAUCCCUCAUUGCUUUGCUCUGUGUGUGUUGUCCCUUUGCCUUCCUCCUGCAAACACAUCAAAAGCUAUGUCUCCCCAGCAGGUGAAACUCUCUCUGCACUUCAUCCAUGUGGAUUUCUGUGAGGCUGAGAGAACUAAAGAUGUAUUCCAGUUUCUUGAGUGUCUGUCUCUUCUCCCUGGUAGCAAGCAAUAGGAUGACAGAAAACAGCCUCAAGUUCUUCCAGGCUCAAAGCAAUUCCUUCAUGUCCUGCUCCUCCAUGCUCUUAUCAGAAGUCCCUCUACAGCUCUCCUGUAGCCCAUUUUGGCACUGACAGGAGGUCUAAGGUCUCACCAGAGCCUUCCCUUCCCUGGCUGGACAGCUCCAACUUUCUCAGCCUGUCUUCAUAGCAGAUUCGCUUCAGCCCUCGGAGCAUCGUCAUGGUCUCCUCUAGGCUUGCUCUGCUUCUUGUUUUGGGAAGUUGUGGUGCAAAAAAAGAACAAUAAUAAUAAACCAACAAAAACAAUUAGAAAAAUAUUAAAAUGGAACAACAAAUUAGUAAAAUAUUGAAAUUAUAAAACAAUAAAACAAUAGAAUAGCACAAUAACAAAGCAAUAAAAUAGGAAAUAAUAAUGUAAUAACAAAAUUAACUGUGUUACUUGUUUGUAAAUGGGUCUGUGGCUGCCUGGGACCCCAGUGCUGGGAAGAUGCUCCAGUGUCCUGAAGCUGGAGCACUGUUUUUUUUGGAGGCUGGAGAGGUGGAGGAUAUUUGCAAGCAAUGAUUUUUCUCUGCUCUCAACACUGUGUCGAAAGCAAAGAAACAGGUAAAAAAUUGAUAAAUACCCACCUAAAAACCCACCUAAAAACCAAACAAAAAACCCCCUUCAAACAAGCAAAAAAAAAAAAAUUAAACAGAAACAAAAGAAACAUCCUAAUCCCUUUCUCCAAUUAAAAAUAAUUUUAAAAAGUGCAGGUCUUUUCAUCGAUUUUGGUUUUAAACAAUUUUCUGGAAUAAUUUAAUUCAAACUAAAGGCAAAUACUUAGUAAGCAUCAUAGAUUUAAAGUAUAGUGUCAAUGGUGAUAAUUUUUUAUUUAAAUUAAAAACCUGUUGAAUUCUUACCUUUUCAUUUCUAUAGAUUACAAAAACCGUCAAUACAAUUCCUGUUCUUUGAUCCCCCCCACACCCCCAGCUUUACACAAGCCUCUAAAUUACGUGCAGGACUUCUGAUUAUGGAUGAAACAUAUCCUGACAGGAAAAACAUCCUUGUUUGCAAUAUUAGCUAAAUAACUCAAGCUCUUGGACAAAUUUGAAAAAGUUCCUGGCUUUGCCACCAGUUUUGUGUGCAAUUGUGUUUUCAGGUCUCACAAUUCCCAUUUUUUGUUUUAAAACCAGCUGCAGCUUAUUAUCACUGAAUUAGCACGGUCAGAGGUUUGGGCUUCACUGAUGUUGUUGGGGGAAAAUCACUUGUGUGUCAGGAGGUGAGAUCUUUUACCCAAAUUGAAUUCCUACAGAGUGCAACUGCUGAAUCUGGCAACACUUUGUGAACUUCAGCUCCAUGAAUUGCAGGAAAUCUUGGAUAAACCCUUGUUAAUGGGAGUGUUUCCAACUUUUCAGGGCUAAGGCCAGAUCUUUAGCUUAUCUCUAAUUCUCCUUAUAGCUUGCAUCACUAAGAGGGAUGUACUUCAACCUGUAUAAUUGCCUUUCCUACGUGUUAAUAUAUAUGACAAGAUGUGAAAUGAAGUGGCAUCUGCUUCCUUUAUCAUUUUUAUCUAAACAGUCUGAGGUGGGGUUAUAUUUUAAGGGAAAGAGUUUCUAAAAUUAAAACGUAGUUUUAGACUAUUAAAUUUUAUGGUGUUCGAACAGAAACAACUGAGUUACAAAAACAGAGGUCAAUACCAGAAUUGAGGUUCCUUUAAGUUAAAAAAAAUAAUAAAAAAUUGCAAGCUUUUUUCUUUUUAGGCAUGUUUUGUGGCUGUUAAGGCAAUGAAGGAAAAUCUCACUUUGCAUUUACGUUGUACGACAUUUGCUUGGCUGAAAAAAUGUUAAUUACUUUAGACUAAUGGUGGAAAAUAAAAGAAAUUUAAAGUCAAAGCACUCAAUUUCUCUCCAAUUUGAGAAAGUAGUCUGGUUUUAUUAUUUUUAAAGUGUGUUGGAAAUGACUAUUUGACCAUUUUGGUUUUUUUGUAUUAAAAUCUUUCUGUGUUUAAAAAAAACCAUGGCAGAUUCAUUUCAUUAAACCAACAUUUUUUCAGUCAGUUUUCUCCACAGAUGUGUGUUAACCUGCUCUGCAAAGAAUUGAACGAAUGAAUGAAUGAAUGAAUUGAAUGAAUGAAUCAUUCCUUGAUAUUGGAAUUGGAUAUUUUUUUUUUCAUUUAUUUGGCUUUUUUUUCUCUCAGCCCAGGUUUUCUCUUAUCUCCAACCAGGAAUGAACCUCACUUAAU